CAGCCAUGUGGUGAACACAAAGCGAACUUUUCUUUCGCCUUUUACUAAAGAAUACCGUGUGUUCUCCAUGCUCAAGUGGCAUACGCCUAUUUUUGGAGGGUCUUGCUUUCGAGUGAGCCC